rnacentral:rRNA from 1 species
GCCCACACGAAGUCGGAGUUGCUAGUAAUCCCGAAUCAGCAUGUCGGGGUGAAUGCGUUCCCGGGUCUUGUACACACCGCCCGUCACGCCAUGGGAGUCGGAAGUGCCCAAAGUCGGUGACCUAACCGCAAGGAAGGAGCCGCCUAAGGUAAUGCCGAUGACUGGGGUGAAGUCGUAACAAGGUACC